ensembl:lncRNA
CACAACUUCACCAACAUGUAUGACAGAGAAGGGGUAGCCUGUUGAUUUCUCAACCCCCCCCCCAAACAUUUUUUAUUAGAUGUACUAUAAAAAGACCAGUCGAUACUGUCAGGAAUUUUUAACGUUUACAACAUGCUGCAGUGAAAUUAGGCUUUUUAGUUUUGCUAAUGCAAUUUCAGAAUCCAUUGCUGGCUUACGGAAAGGGUUUAUAAAGGUCUCAAAAUGUUUACCAGAGAGCCUCGCUUAAACAAUGAGACGAAACUAAGCCCUCACUGAGUUAGCGGGAAUGCGUGACGGUGCAGAUUGAUAUUGGGAAAACACACCAGGUCAGGAAGUGAAGUUAACCCAGGCUCACGAGAACUAGAAAGUAAACCCACACCGAGACAAUGAAUAAUCCACCCUUGGCUGAAUCCAGCCCUCAUUAAAGAAACCCGCCCCUGAUUGAAAUGCCUGUCACCCUACCAAGUACUGACAAAAACCUGCCUGUGGUCGUCUCCGCUGCUCUGUCUGUCUCUCUGGAUCGCUUCUAUUAAUAGUAACAGAUGCACAGGAGGGCAGCGACGCUGCAUGCUCAAAGGUCCAGGUACAGCAGAGGAUGUGGGCUCCGACGGGUGUCUGUGAAGUAUUACAUGUUAGACUAUUAGAUAUUUCAUUGAGGUCUCCUUUAGAGAUUUUUUAUUUCUUUUAAUGUUUUCUUUCUUUCAAGCUGCCUUAAAAACAUCUGGCCGGGAACAGCAGAUGGAAAUUGGCCUUCCUGGCUCACUUACAGUACAUCUGUUGAUUAGUGUGCAUUGUGCCCUGCAAAAAUAACUGAAUAAGUAAAUAAAUAAAUAUGCUGUUUAAAAGAAAAACACAUCUUGCAUCCGGCCUGAGGCUUCAACACAGCAGUCGGUCAAAAUACCGGUCAAAGCAGGCGACCGGAAGUACUUCUUCCCCCCAGGGUCACGGCGAUGUGCAACGGGAGCUUGCCUACUAAUGAGGGGCCUGAGAGUGUGUUGUGCGUACAGACAACAAAGGAGUGUGUUGUAGCACCAAACCGUGUUUCAGCAACACAUUUUAACUCCCGACUCAUCAAACAAGGAUGUUGAUCAGCGGCCCACCGCUUCAAGCUAUGAAGCUCGUAUCAGUUUUGGACGAGAAAACACUCAAGUGUUUACUUUCCUCUUUUCCGAGGUCACGACAGUCAAACUAGUCCGUCGUGCUUUUUGAAACAUGAGAGCUGUGAAACGGAUGACUAGAAUGAGCUGAGAGUGUGUCACUGCUUCCAUUGUUUUUUUGUAACACUGUCGUGCUAUGAGUCACCACACAUUCAUUGUGCCAUCUGACAGCCUCAAAAUUGAUAUGUCAGCAUGGCCUGGCUUGCAAACACGAUUUGAUGUAUCUAUGUAAUAAAAUGCUUGUUGUUCAAGAUUGUUUCAUGUGUAAAAUCAGUCCCUUCAAAACCUCCGUAUUCCCAUAAAAAGUACUUUGACAUUACAUAACUUUGCUGUCUAUUCUACACUGCUGUCAUACCAGCAGGGUUUACUUUACAUCCACCCCUGGUUCCUUCUCACGUAAACACCG